GGAAGUCGAAGGUUAAAGUCCUUCCUACUACUCACAC
rnacentral:tRNA from 1 species